rnacentral:rRNA from 1 species
UACGGGAGGCAGCAGUGGGGAAUAUUGCACAAUGGGCGAAAGCCUGAUGCAGCUAUGCCGCGUGUAUGAAGAAGGCCUUAGGGUUGUAAAGUACUUUCAUCGGGGAGGAAAAAACAAAACUAAUAAUUUUAUUUCUUGACGUUACCCGAAAAAGAAGCACCGGCUAACUCCGUGCCAGCAGCCGCGGUAAUACGGAGGGUGCUAGCGUUAAUCAGAAUUACUGGGCGUAAAGAAGCACGUAGGUGGUUUUUUUAAGUCAGAUGUGAAAUCCCUGGGCUUAACCUAGGAACUGCAUUUUGAAACUGAAAUACUAGAGUAUCGUAGAGGGAGGUAGAAUUCUAGGUGUAGCGGUGAAAUGCGUAGAUAUCUGGAGGAAUACCUGUGGCGAAAGCGGCCUCCUAAACGAAUACUGACACUGAGGGUGCGAAAAGCGUGGGGGAGCAAAACAGGGAUUAGAUACC